rnacentral:rRNA from 1 species
AAAGCGCGCGUAGGUGGUUUGUUAAGUUGGAUGUGAAAUCCCCGGGCUCAACCUGGGAACUGCAUUCAAAACUGACUGACUAGAGUAAGGUAGAGGGUGGUGGAAUUUCCUGUGUAGCGGUGAAAUGCGUAGAUAUAGGAAGGAACACCAGUGGCGAAGGCGACCACCUGGACUAAUACUGACACUGAGGUGCGAAAGCGUGGGGAGCAAACAGGAUUAGAUACCCCGGU